CCUACGGGUGGCAGCAGUAGGGAAUUUUCGGCAAUGGGGGGAACCCUGACCGAGCAACGCCGCGUGAACGAAGACGUCUUUCGGUAUGUAAAGUUCUUUUAGUGGAGGAGAAAGAGAAAUUUGACGGUAACCAAUGAAUAAUCUCCGGCUAACUACGUGCGAGCAGCCGCGGUAAUACGUAGGGAGCGAGCGUUAUUCGGCAUUCUUGGGCGUAAAGGGUGCGGUGAUGGGAGAUAUAAGUCUUUUGUAAAAAUGCUAGGCUCAACCUAGUAGGGCAAAUGAUACUGAUGAACUAGAGUACGGGAGAGGCAAGCGGAAGUAGAGGUGUAGCGGUAAAAUGCGUAAAUAU
rnacentral:rRNA from 1 species